rnacentral:lncRNA from 1 species
CUAGGGGCACACAGGGAAGAAAGGACAGAAUCAGGUCUCCGAAACAGCCCAGCCUGGCUGGGGAGUGGUGCCAGGCCAUCCUCACUUCCUUGCUGAGACUGGAGAAGGGAGACCUAAGCCCCAGGCACAGGGCAUUGGAUGGUUUACGCAACCGUCAUAUAGUCCGGGGAUGCACCCGUCCCUCAUGAGGUGCAGAAGGCCUGUCUCCAACCUUGAACAUACCCCCAGGGAUUGGGAAAGGGAACCAAUCCUGGCUGAGUGUCUACUGUGUGCUGGGCACUUGAUGGAUGGCACCUUCCCAGAAGCCUUCAGUGCUAUGUGGUCCAACAUGGUGGUCACUAACUGUGUGUCACUGUAUAAUUGAAAAGAGAAGUUCUGUUUCUUUCCUGCACUAGCCAUAUUUCCAGUGGUUUUGAGGAGCUGCCAUAUUGGACAGUGCAGAGAACAUUUCUAUCACCACAGGGAUGCUCUUGAGGAAGGGGGAUAAACGGGAAAACUAAGCACAAAGCCCAGCUUCUUUCUGCUUGGCACCAAAGUAGCUCCCAGAGAGCCCAGUGGAUGAGGGGCUGGGGUCCUUUAUCUGGUGUUCCAUGGUCCUACAUGCUGGAGGACAGAGGCACACUUGGUGUUCUGCGGUUGGACUAAGGCACAAAGGGUAGCACAUGUGGCCCAUUCUCCCUUUACCUAGGCUUUAUUAAGGUGCCUCCUAUACAUAUGUGUGAGAUUCUUGGGGCCACUAACCAUGAGACCCAGGGGUCCACGGAAACAGAUGUGACAGAGAUAACCAAGGC